rnacentral:lncRNA from 1 species
AUUGCCUGGGAAACUAAGUCACGUGAGAACCUGGGGACGCUAGGUUCCGGAACCUGACCUGAGCUGGGGCCUGUGCUUCCAGCGGGUGGUGGGGGGCCUGGUGUGCUGGCAUCAAGUAAGCCGACUACCUCGGCAAAGGCUUAGGGACAAGAGACCAGCAGCCUGAACUGGCUGGGGCAUCCGGAAGGCUUAGAUCUUGUGGCCAAGAGUUCAGACCGUGGCGAAGUGGAGAGUGACAUGCAGUUGGAUGGCGGUGACUGCGUGGUCCUGCAACCCUGGUUCCAGUCUGGCAAGCAUUGUAGACCUGGCUGCUGAAGACUGACGGGGCCCAGGGUCCGCUGCCCCCACCGCCAUCACCACCUCGGAACCCAGGGUAACGCUGUCAGUCUUUGAGCCUACGAGGAAACCAUUCGGAAGCUCCAGAACCCAGGCCCUAAUCACAACGCCCCUAUCCAGCAGGAAGCAGCCAGAUGAUCAACGACGCCCUUUUUCCUUUUUAUACUAAAGUAAGAAAUAAGAAUGUUAGCCCAAACUGCACUAUUUUGCAGACCCCUACCAUUUUACAAACUGGUCAGAGUGGAAAAUUCCACCAGGGCCUGAGCUGUGAGAAACAUCCUGUCAGGCAGGUCCCAGGCCUAACCCCUGGCUGCACUAAAUUCCUUCAUUAUCAGCAGCCAAACACACCGCCCCCACCCCAUUUUCACAACAAUCCCAGACCUCUCCUGCCCGGGACUGUAACUGGUCCAGCCUGUAAGCGGGAAGGGGGCUCUGGCACUAGCUGGUACCCCCUCUCCGCAGGUCUUUCUCCCAAUAAAUCUGUGUUGCCAUUGA